rnacentral:rRNA from 1 species
GAUAUUGGUCAAUGGGCGAAAGCCUGAUACAGCCAUGCCGCGUGAUUGAAGAAGGACUUCGGUAUGUAAAGCACUUUACGUAGGGAGGAAUGGCAGUAGGUUAAUCCACUGCUGUUUUGACUAUACCGCCAGAAUAAGCACUGGCUAACUACCUGACUGCAGCCGCGGUAAUACGUAGGGGCCCAGCGUUGUCCGGAAUUACUGGGCGUAAAGGUUGCGUAGGCGGCCCUUUAAGUCAGAUGUGAAAGGCCACGGCUUAACCGUGGGAUUGCAUUUGAAACUGGAGGGCUUGAGUGUCGGAGAGGGUAGUGGAAUUCCCAGUGUAGCGGUGAAAUGCGUAGAUAUUGGGAGGAACACCAGUGGCGAAGGCGACUACCUGGACGAUAACUGCCGCUGAGGCACGAAAGCUAGGGGAGCAAAA